CAAGGCUCAAAGAAGGCAUGUAACAGUCUGGGAAGAAGUGCUAAAUGCUGAGGAGAAGUGAAACUAUUUUAGGCGAACGUUUUAUCUGCCGAUGAGGCUUCAUGAAGUCCAAGGUCUCUAGGAUCUCGUCCUGUUACUUUGGCUAUCUCCCUCCCCAGCUGCUCCAGGAGUCCUUCGGCUUGACUCACCUCUGCCCUCUCCUGGACUCUGAUGGACUCUGUCACCUCGGUGCGUUUC